AGAGUUUGAUCAUGGCUCAGAUUGAACGCUGGCGGCAUGCCUUACACAUGCAAGUCGAACGGUAACGGGCCUUCGGGUGCCGACGAGUGGCGAACGGGUGAGUAAUGUAUCGGAACGUACCUUUCAGUGGGGGAUAACGUAGCGAAAGUUACGCUAAUACCGCAUAUUCUGUGCGCAGGAAAGCAGGGGAUCGCAAGACCUUGCGCUGAUUGAGCGGCCGAUAUCAGAUUAGCUAGUUGGUGAGGUAAAGGCUCUCCAAGGCGACGAUCUGUAGCGGGUCUGAGAGGAUGAUCCGCCACACUGGAACUGAGACACGGUCCAGACUCCUACGGGAGGCAGCAGUGGGGAAUUUUGGACAAUGGGGGCAACCCUGAUCCAGCCAUGCCGCGUGAGUGAAGAAGGCCUUCGGGUUGUAAAGCUCUUUCGGCCGGGAAGAAAUCGCAUGGGUGAAUACCCUGUGUGGAUGACGGUACCGGAACAAGAAGCACCGGCUAACUACGUGCCAGCAGCCGCGGUAAUACGUAGGGUGCGAGCGUUAAUCGGAAUUACUGGGCGUAAAGCGUGCGCAGGCGGUUGAUUAAGACAGGCGUGAAAUCCCCGGGCUCAACCUGGGAACUGCGCUUGUGACUGCAUCACUCGAGUACGGCAGAGGGGGGUGGAAUUCCACGUGUAGCAGUGAAAUGCGUAGAGAUCAGGAGGAACACCGAUGGCGAAGGCAGCCCCCUGGGCCUGUACUGACGCUCAUGCACGAAAGCGUGGGGAGCAAACAGGAUUAGAUACCCUGGUAGUCCACGCCCUAAACGAUGUCGACUAGUCGUUCGGAGCAGCAAUGCACUGAGUGACGCAGCUAACGCGUGAAGUUGACCGCCUGGGGAGUACGGCCGCAAGGUUAAAACUCAAAGGAAUUGACG
rnacentral:rRNA from 1 species